CCUACGGGUGGCUGCAGUGGGGAAUAUUGGACAAUGGGCGAAAGCCUGAUCCAGCCAUGCCGCGUGUGUGAAGAAGGCCUUCGGGUUGUAAAGCACUUUCAGUGGGGAAGAAAGCCUUGGGGCUAAUACCCUCGAGGAAGGACAUCACCCACAGAAGAAGCACCGGCUAACUCCGUGCCAGCAGCCGCGGUAAUACGGAGGGUGCGAGCGUUAAUCGGAAUUACUGGGCGUAAAGCGCGCGUAGGCGGUCUGAUAAGCCGGUUGUGAAAGCCCCGGGCUCAACCUGGGAACGGCAUCCGGAACUGUCAGGCUAGAGUGCAGGAGAGGAAAGUAGAAUUCCCGGUGUAGCAGUGAAAUGCGUAGAGAUCGGGAGGAAUACCAGUGGCGAAGGCGGCCUUCUGGACUGACACUGACGCUGAGGUGCGAAAGCGUGGGUAGCAAACAGGAUUAGAUACCCUAGUAGUC
rnacentral:rRNA from 1 species